UACAGAGGUCUCAAGCGUUGUUCGGAUUCAUUGGGCGUAAAGGGUGCGUAGGUGGCGGGGUAAGUCUGGUGUGAAAUCUCGGGGCUUAACUCCGAAACUGCAUUCGAUACUGCCGUGCUUGAGGACUGGAGAGGAGACUGGAAUUUACGGUGUAGCGGUGAAAUGCGUAGAUAUCGUAAGGAAGACCAGUGGCGAAGGCGGGUCUCUGGACAGUUCCUGACGCUGAGGCACGAAGGCCAGGGAAGCAAACGGG
rnacentral:rRNA from 1 species